rnacentral:misc_RNA from 1 species
UGAGAAAGACCCAGAUGGAGAAAGUGAGUAACAUUUAACAUUGUCCCGGAGUGGCCCACGAGGCAGGCCAAACAAGGAUAGCAGGUCAUGAACACCUGCGACUGUGACGGAUUGAGGAAGAGAUUGGUUAGUGAGAGAAAGAGAGAGAUGGGUUUUUGAUAAGAAGAGAACAGAAAGGAGACAGAGAGAUAUUGUUUUGGAGAUGGGGAUCUGAAAGCAAACCAUCGUUGACGGAUAGAGAUCGUUCGGUAGCGAGAGAACUCAGGAGAGGAAAACGUUAUUCUAG